UACGUAGGUCCCGAGCGUUGCCCGGAUUUAUUGGGCGUAAAGCGAGCGCAGGUGGUUUAUUAAGUCUGGUGUAAAAGGCAGUGGCUCAACCAUUGUAUGCAUUGGAAACUGGUAGACUUGAGUGCAGGAGAGGAGAGUGGAAUUCCAUGUGUAGCGGUGAAAUGCGUAGAUAUAUGGAGGAACACCGGUGGCGAAAGCGGCUCUCUGGCCUGUAACUGACACUGAGGCACGAAAGCGUGGGGAGCAAAUAGG
rnacentral:rRNA from 1 species